AGGUCUCCAGGACGGGCAGCAGUGGAGAGCUAGUUGGGAAUGCUGAAGGCCAUUGUGGACCAGCAGGUACCUGCCUCACUCUGUACUUGGGCAUCUUCAUUGAGGGAGAGAGAACAGUGAUUGUGCAAAAUUCUGUUAGUCAGUGAUUCUUCAAUGCAAAUUCAGGGGCUUAGAAACAAGACAGCACACAAACCUGGACUGUGCUUUGGGAACCAAAUGGACUUCAUGGGACAAGCUAAGCAAGCUGUACAGACAUCACGUUUGUGAAGAGCUGAGGGCGUCAGGAGAGCCGGCGAAGUCGGCAUGCGAGUGGGGAAGAGGGUUAGCCAUAGUAUUCUUUGCAAAUGUGAAAGUCAGACAUUAUAUCUUCUCUUGCUUGGUGUAACUAAUCACUGUUAAUUUCAGGAAACAGAAGUCAGUAAAACUCCUUAGUAAACUCCUUGCUAAGUGAGGUUCAGGGUGUGGUCAAAUUGGUACUAGUGGAGGGAGGGAAAUUGUCCUCCAGCCUAAAAAGGGACAAAUUAUAAUAAUAUAAAUUGUUAAGAAUUGAAGAAUUCUGUUUCCUGGAAUGAGCAUUUCUUAUUCCUAGUUGUUGGGACUCUUUGCCUUCUGUUACAGUGUUGAUUCAUACAAAAUAUUGUUACAUUUAAGAUAACAUCAUCUGUAUGGGGUAUUUAUUUGCAAUGAUGUCUAAGUACUGUAUUUUUUCUGUGUGUUACCUUAGUGUCAGAAUGUUGGUCUUUAUUUUAAAAGUCAUAUGCAUGUUCUCCUGCCAAGGCACCUUACACAGACCCAAAACAAAACAAUGAGCAGAUGCCUUCAGCUUCUGAGAAAAUGAGGCCAAGUGAGGAGAAGGCAUAGGAAGGUGAGACUAGCUGAGACUUCUGUCAUGGCUGAUGGCGGACCGUCUCCACAGCCAGCACACAUAGGAAAACUGGGCCUGGGUGAAGAGUCGCAUUGGUAGGACCAAUAAAGAAUAAUAAAACAAUUG
rnacentral:lncRNA from 1 species